AUUCGCAGUUGACAUCACUUGUUAGAAGAGCAACUCUGAAAGAAAACGAGCAAAUUCCAAAAUAUGAAAAGAUUCACAAUUUCAAGGUGCAUACAUUCAGAGGGCCACACUGGUGUGAAUACUGUGCCAACUUUAUGUGGGGUCUCAUUGCUCAGGGAGUGAAAUGUGCAGAUUGUGGUUUGAAUGUUCAUAAGCAGUGUUCCAAGAUGGUCCCAAAUGACUGUAAGCCAGACUUGAAGCAUGUCAAAAAGGUGUACAGCUGUGACCUUACGACGCUCGUGAAAGCACAUACCACUAAGCGGCCAAUGGUGGUAGACAUGUGCAUCAGGGAGAUUGAGUCUAGAGGUGAGCCAUUUGCAGUGCGGGUUGCAGUGGUCUCCGUUCACUACCAGUACCAGUCCUGAUGCCUUUUGGUUACCUCAUUGCACAAUACGGUUGUCUUCUGUAAUUUGGAGGGGAAUGGUUUCAUAUGUCAAAUGAUCUCAAAGACUGAAAUGAAUUAAUUUAACAAUUAAAUAGCUUGAUUUCAAGGUACAUUUAACUAAGUGUAGCCAAU
rnacentral:sRNA from 1 species